UACAGAGGGUGCAAGCGUUAAUCGGAAUUACUGGGCGUAAAGCGUGCGUAGACGGUUACAUAAGUCGGGUGUGAAAAUCCCCUCGGCUUAACCGGGGAACUGCGUCUGAUACUGGAUGGCUUGAGGUUGGGAGAGGGAUGCGGAAUUCCAGGUGUAGCGGUGAAAUGCGUAGAUAUCUGGAGGAACACCGGUGGCGAAGGCGGCAUCCUGGACCAAUUCUGACGCUGAGGAGCGAAAGCCAGGGGAGCAAACGGG
rnacentral:rRNA from 1 species